rnacentral:lncRNA from 1 species
GUUUGAUUUAGCUUGAAUUCAUGUUCAUGAUAUUAGUUGGGUUCCAAUCCAUGAUUUAAAUGCAAGUUUCAUGAAAUCAAAUAACAUGUGUGAUGAAUAUGUAUUAUCUUAAUAAACCCUUGAACGUACAAAGUGAUUAAUGCAUCUAUGAUGUUAAUUUGGUUUGCAACCCAUGAUUAUGAUAAGAUUCAUGAAAAAUAGAAUAAUAUUUAGGGAGAAUUAUAUGAAUUACAUGCUAAACCCUUGAAUUUGCAAUUAAGUAUUCUAUUCAUGAUGUUUAUGUGAUGACCAUUAUCAUGUGAAAUACUCAUGCUCCCCAAUUAUUUGCUAAAAUGCCUUUGUGAAGUAGAUAGAGGAAUUAUGAGAUGUUAUUAUGAGAUCUUAAUCAUGUACAAGCUUAUGCCCUACAAGUGUUUGACAAAAUACUUAUGUGAAUUGACUAGUGAAGGCAUGACAUGUUAUUAUGUGAUCCCAUUCAUGUACAAGUUAAUGCAUUACAAGUGUUUGAUGAAAUAUCUCUAUGAAUAAAUUAUGACCAAGUGAACAUUGUUAUGUUAUUCAAGAUUAUGCUUUGCUUUAUUUUUCAUGCUAUCAAGUCCUGAGGGUAUUUAAUACCCGGCAAUUUAGCUGUUUACCUAGAGCCAGUGUCAGUUACAGAAUAGUAUCAGUCAUGUCAAGACCAGUAGUACUCUCAGUCAGUUACAGAACUCAGUAGAACUCAGUCAGUUAUAGAACUCAGGAAAACUCAGUAAACUCACUCUCAUUCUAGUCCCGUUCAGUAUACUCAGUUCAGUGUCUUUUAGUUGGGAGUAGGAUUUAGUACCGAGCGAGUGCAUGGAUGACGGAUUCCCCAUUAGAUAGGUAGAGUCAUUAGUAUCCAGAACUGCGUAGCUAGUUCAGGAUGAAAAGUCACCCAUCAGACUAGGUUUGACUACCUCCCAGGGGUCACCCGUCAGAUUAGGCUUAGCUCCGCCCAAGUGUCACCCAUCAGUUAGGCUUGGCAUCCUGGUUUUCUAGUGUUAGUACUUGUAGUACGGUAUUAUCACCCUUCCUGUUGGGGUUAUAGGUUGGACCCCAAAUAGUUCAGAGAGGGGCAUGUCAGUUACAUGAUACCUCCCACAAUUUCAGUUUUGGUCUUCAGUAGAAAACUCAGUUUAGUUUUACAGAAUCAGGACUGUCAGACACAGUCAAUUCAGAGCCAUUAAUUCAGUUAUCAGUAACUUAGAUAUCAGUUACUCUAUUAUUAGAAUUCAGUACUUAGUUCUAGAAAAGCUCAGCUACAACAUUUAUAUAAACGCAUAAUAUUGCAUACUCAGUAUUUGUCGUAGUUCAAAUUAUCCAUGUACUCUUAUAUUCAGUUAUUCUGUAUUAUUUAGUCAGUUAUUGUUCAUGCAUAUAAACCCUUGCAUUCAGCCUUACCUCAUCUUGCAUACUAGUGUAUUCCCACGUACUGAUGCGUACUUUCCUAUGCUAUGAUGUUUCAUAUCAUAGGUUUGAAUGCCCAGGUUCCCGACCAUACAUAUUAGAUUUAAAUUUAGCCAUCAGCAGUAGAUCUAGCAGUGAGUCCUUUUUAUACGAGGAUAUUUUAUUAUUUCAUAUUUUCAGUAGAUAUAGUAGUUCAGUAGAUGAAGUUAGUUGGAGGAUUGUCCCUUCAUAUCUACUUUCAGACAGAUUCUAUAAGAGGCUUUCCACACGAGAUUUUCAGACAGUAUUCGAUUUUAUCAAAUGUUAUUAUUUUUAUCAGUUUUUAGAUUUGAACCUUAUGGAAAUUUAGCCUAUUUUCUGCAUUAUUUUAGUAUUUUUAUUUAGUGCUCACAACAGAUAUUAGUCAUGGGUUAGUUUAUGGUACCUCAGGGUCGUAAGCACCAUAUGAUGACUAGGGGGUAGUAUCGGAUCAUUACAAACUUUGUAUCAAAGCCUAAGGCUUAAUAGAGUCCUAGGGAGUCUGAAAGCUGCAUCACGUAGAGUUUUGUGCAUGGGUGUAUAACGUGCCACACUUAUGGAUAAGAGGCUAUGGGUUGUUUUAGGAAAAAUUUACCUUCUUUCAGUAUUCAUGUUGUACGAGUGAGUAUGAGCUCAAGUUCAACUCUCAGUCUAAUUCAUUUCUUCCUAAUGCUUCUAGAAUAUGCCUUUCAGAGAAGCUAAUCAUAGAAGUAAUGAAAAUCAGUCAGCACCUCAGCCCGUUCAGGCAAUCCCCUGGACGAACAUGUCUCUCAUGCAAAAUUCAGAGCUGUUUUCACCACGUUAGCCAAUUCAGUAGUUGCUCAAAACAAUCUACAAGUUGUUUUCCUAUCUAGGCUUGGGGUUUAUACUCAGCAGAGCAAGAGGGAGAAGCAUAGGAGGGAUGAUAGAGAGAAUAAGAGAGUCAGAAUAAGCGGUUUUAGGCUAAGGUCAAGGGGUGGUAACCGCUUCCAGUUUCGUCAGAAAUUCUUAGCCCCAAAUCCUUCUGUAGCUAGUGCGUCAGUGCCAAAGUUUGGAAAUGACACUCGAGGUAGCACAUCAGACUCUAAUUCUUAGGGUAGCAUGAAAAGAGGUUGUAGCCACCAACUUUGCCAAAAAUGUAGUAGAAAUCAUCAGGGUGUGUGUAGGGCUAGCAGUGGCAUAUGUUUCGAUGUGGAAAGUUAGGCCAUAGAACCGAAGAUUGUCCUUAGUCAGGUUCACAAGGUCAGUACAACCGCCCUUCAGCUCAGUCCGGUCGGCCAAAUUAGCAGGGUGCCACUUCUAGUGGUGCUAGUGGGCAAUUCCCAAACAAACUUUAUGCACUUCAGUUCAAAAAAAGAUUAGGAAAUUUCUCCUGAUGCGGUCACUAGUACAUUACAGAACUUCUAUUUACAUAUCCAUGCCCUAUUAGAUCUAGGAGCUUCUCUGUCUUGUGUAACUCCUUGCGUAGCAGACAACUUUAAAGUCAGACUAAAAAUCUUAACAGAACCUUUCUUAGUGCUUACCUCAGUGGGAAAAUCUAUUCCAGCCAGACGAGUAUACAGGAAUUACUCGGUUACUGUAUUUCAAAAAAUCUCUUUAGUUAAUUUUAGUAAUAGAGUCAUUCCAUUUAAGUUUCUUCAUGAACCAGUCCUUGAAUGAAAGGGUAGUACCUAAGUUUCAGUUGAUUUAAGUUUGAAUCUCUAGAUUGAACUAGUAGAAAAAGAAGUUGAGAAUUCUAAGUUAGUUAGUGUUGAGGCUACUAAAUGAUGAUUGUUGGGGAAAUAGAAAGUUAAGAAUCAUGUAUUAGAAGGAAGUGCUAGCAGUGGACCUUACAUUAUCAGGAGUAGUCCUUCAGAAUGAGUUUAGUGUUUAUGAGCAUUGUCAUAUCUCAGACUCUAGAAAAAAGUAGUCUCAACUCGAUUUAGAGUUUAUUAAGGGGUUCACAGACUUAGAAUAAUGACUUUAAGCUAAGGGGGAGAUGGUAGAACAAGUAACUAAGUCAGACUUUCAGAUUUUAGUAGUAAUGUUAGCAUGUGUAGAGAAGUAGCGGCAGAGGUUGAUGCCCAACCUAUCUUUAUCUCAGUGCCAUGUCUUAUACUUUAGAUAUCCCGAUAUCUACUUAUGCCUUACAUGUUAGCUCUAUGAUAAUAGUUCAUAUUCGAGCACAUUAACAAAAAUCAUAUACGCUUACAACUCCUAGUAUAAGGAGUUCCAGAUCACUUGGUUUUACGAAUCAUGUUCCAUGAAUACAGAAACUCCAAACUUAGGUCAUUCAGCUCAUGACUCAUGUACUCAUGCUUUAUAGUAUGUUCAAUUCCAGUACUUAUGCUACGCUUCUAAUAAUCAGCUAAAUUCAGAUUAUGUCAUGUAUACCCUCAGUUAGACCUCUUGAUAAAUCCAUGACACUGAUAUUCUAUUUAUCAAGCCUCAGUUAAGUAUCAAGUUUGGUGUAGUGUCCAUUCAUGCUUUAAGUCUUCAUGUUUUAGCCUUUCAGUUAACUCUCCUUAUGAAAUAAUGUAGUGAUGAGAAAUUCCUUAGACGGGAGAGAGUAGGGUAGAUGUUUCCUGAUAAAGGAAAAGUUGGUGCAUGCAUGUUUUACCCGAAGCUGUAGUUAUGAAGAUAGGCUUGAAAGUUAUGUUAGUGUGCAGGAGAAUAGCUAGCAAGAGGUUGUAUUUUUUUAUUGGAGGAAAAAUCAGAAUUUUUCUUGAGAUAAGAAGUUGAGAAAAUGAAGAAUGUAAGUGUAAAUUUAGAUCCUCAAUUUGUGCCAGUCCCCAUCAUGUAGCUAUCAGAACUCAAUCAUAGUCUCAGUCAGUAUUCAGUUCCAAAAUCAGUCCUAUUUUAGGUUUGCUUGACCAAAGCGUACAGUUAUCAGUUAUUCAGUUAUUCAGUUAUCAGUAUCUCAAUAUUUUAGAAUCAUGUCAUGCGUUUAGUCUUGCAUUCCCAGAUAAUCCCAUUUCCAUAAAUUUAUGUUUAGUUACCUCACGUUCCUCAGUUAGUCCCUAUCUCAUAUGCAUAGUACUCUAUAGUUUUAAUCCAGUUAUUCAGGUUAAGAAAAGUUCAAUCUUACAUGACCAGUAUUCAUCUAUCAGCCGUUCAAUUAAUCAGAUAAGCUAUUAUGUUUAUGCAUUCGUGCUCAGCGCCCGUGUAAAUAUUUUCAGUAGUUUCAGGUGUAGGAUGUUCUAAGGUGGAGAGUAUAAAUGAGAAAGUAUUCAAAAAAUAUGUCUAAGCUUGAAAAUUUGUAGCUGCAGUGCACAAGGCUUAGAAACUCUAUCUUAGAAGGUGUUUUAUAGGCCUUACUCCAUGUUACAGAAUUGGAGAGAUGUUGUGAUUCAAAUUUCUUAUUCAGACCAUGCCCAGAUUCCCUACUCCCUAAAGUCACUAGAACUCUAUAGAAAGUGUCAAGAAAUUCUCCAAUCGAGUAUAAGUUUUCCACAUAAGUUAGUCCGUAAAGUUAGUAAUUCAGUUAGCAGUCAGGAAAACAAGUUCGUAUGGUUUCCCAUUUUUCCAUCUAGUUGUACUAACUGAAGGUUUAUGAAUAUGUCCAUUCCAAGAUGGAGUAUCCCAGUAGUAAUGAGUUCAGCCCAGUUCACAUAUCAUGUCUUAGUUUUAGAUACCAGAUAUUCAGUUACGAUUCAGUUCGUUGGCACCCCAUACAUCAUCUCAGCUUUUCCUCCGUAUCUCAGUCAAGUCAACAUUCUUCGAGGGACAUAGUGUCCGAAGGGGGAGAUGCACUAUAACCCCUGAGCUAUCAUGAUCUGAACCUUCCAUUUCUCUUCACGUAAUAAAUCCAAUUGGAGAAAUAGGUCCUCACAGUUGACCCUCUAGUUCCAAUCUCAAUCGUAAGCUAUGUACUCAAGGGCUUAGUUCAGUUCACGAUAUUCAGUUUGUGUAUCUCGUUUCAGACUCAUUCAUGUUCUCAUGUUCCCAUUCAUACACGUUCAGUAAAUGAUCUUAGGCUUAUCAGUGUUCUCAUUUAAAGGUAAUAGUCUUCUAUAGAUCUACUCAGUUCCAUGUUCAGUUACAACUAUAAUCUUAGUAUCAAUUAUCAUUGCAUAUUCAGUCACGCAUUCAUUAAUCAGUUCAGUCAUGUAUUCCAUGCACCAGUUCUUAGGCUUAUCAGUCUCAUUCAUGUUCCCGUUCAUACACGUUCAGUAAAUAAUCCUAGGCUUAUUAGUGUUCUCAUCUUAAGGUAACAAUCUUCCAUGGAUCUACUCAGUUCCAUGUUCAGUUACAACUAUAUUCUUAGUAUCAGUUAUCGUUGCAUAUUCAGUCACACAUUCAUUAAUCAGUUCAUUCAUGUAUCCCAUGCACCAGAUAUGCAUGUCCAACAUAUAAACUCAAUUUAUUAGCAGUCCUCAGCUUAAUUAGUCUCAUUCGAGAAUGAAUAUUCCUAAGGGGGAGAUAUUGUAAUAUCCCAUACUUUUGCUUAGUAUAAAUUCAUCCCAAAAAUAUCAAAGACUUUCUUUAAAGAUGAAUACACUUUUAUACAUGUGUAGUUUUCAAGAUUUUAACUUUUUAGUGUAGGAAAUUCAAUUAGCUCCCAACGAUAUAAAAUUUGCCAAAAUUCGAUAACCGAGUAAGAAGUUAUGGUAUUUUUAAGUUUUUGUCGUCAGACCCCGUCAUUUUAGUCAUCAGCACAUCGCAGAGCCAGUGUAAAUAGCAAUUGUCAGUUUCCAGUGAGACUCUGCAAUCAUGGCACAUCACGGAACAGGCUAACUUCCCAUUUGGCAAGUUUCAGUGGGCUUUCGCGAUGUUGGCGCAUCGCGGAGAUGGUCAAAUAAGAAUUUCAAAGGGUUGCCGUUAUAGCCCCAUAUCGCGGUGUUUGUCUAGGUCCCAGUUGUCCUUUUUUCAGUAGCUUGGCGCGAUAGUGGCGCGUCACGCCAAGUCCAAAAAUUGGAAUGGUCAAUUUUCAGCUUCUAUAUUUAAAUUCGUUCAGGGAUAUUUGGGUCUUUUUCCACGAUCCUAACUAACCUAAAACAUGAAAUUUAAUCCCUAAACACCCUAAGUAGUUAUUAUUAUUUCAAAUCCUGUUAUAAUCAAAGAUCCUUUUUUCAAGAACAAGAACCCUAGCUCUCAAAUUCAAGGUCAAUCCACAAGAACUCACCCAGAACUCCAAGAAAUUCAUCAUCCCAGUAUCUUAGAUGCUCAUCUAUGGGUUCCUUUCACCCAUAGAGUCCAAGAAUCCCUUUUUAAACCUACAAGAUCUAAGAUUUAUGAUUUUCAUGUUUGAUUUAGAUUGAAUUCAUGUUCAUGAUAUUAGUUGGGUUUCAAUCCAUGAUUUAAAUGCAAGUUUCAUGAAAUUAAAUAACAUGUGUGAUGAAUAUGUGACUAUAUUGAUAAAACCUUGAUCGUACAAAGUGAUUAAUGCAUAUAUGAUGUUAAUUUGGUUUGCAACCCAUGAUUAUGAUAAGAUUCAUGAAAAAUAGAAUAGUAUUUAGGGGGAAUUAUAUGAAUUACAUGCUAAACCCUUGAAUUUGCAAUUAAG